GGUACCUGCAGAAAAGCACCGGCUAACUACGUGCCAGCAGCCGCGGUAAUACGUAGGGUGCAAGCGUUGUCCGGAAUUAUUGGGCGUAAAGAGCUCGUAGGCGGUUUGUCGCGUCUGCUGUGAAAUCCCGAGGCUCAACCUCGGGCUUGCAGUGGGUACGGGCAGACUAGAGUGCGGUAGGGGAGAUUGGAAUUCCUGGUGUAGCGGUGGAAUGCGCAGAUAUCAGGAGGAACACCGAUGGCGAAGGCGGCUUACUGGACGGUAACUGACGUUGAGGCUCGAAAGCGU
rnacentral:rRNA from 1 species